GCUAGGGUUGAGGUUCUCAGAAGUAGUAGUCAUAAUUGGACUGGGAUUCUCCCCUUAGUUGGGUGAGAAGUAGUGGAUUCAUUAGAUGGGUCAGCAAUGUCUAUGCCACUAACUUAACCAAAAAAAUCACAGCACUAAUCACAAUAUUGGAAAGAGAGAAUGGAAUAAGCAAGCAAUCUCAACACAUAUCAAAAUGGAAGCAUAACAUUCAGAUUAAUGGGGCCAUUUAUCAGCUCAAAAAUUAAACAAAAUAAUAAAAGGUGUAGCUUCAAUAAAAAUAGCAGUCGUGGUGACCCAAUUAUAAAAGUUUAAAAUGUUGUAUUGAAGAGAAUGAGAAUAAAAACAAAUUCCAAUCAGACCAUAGGUUGUCUAUAUUAGCCUAUCGAAGCCAUAUGAAGAUGAGAGAGUGACCAAACAAGCUACUUAAUGUCGCACAAGGAAUAGCCUGAUCUGGGUCGAAGCACGAAGCAGAGUCAGACGACGUAGGGUGAAUCAUGAACUAGCCAGAGGCCUAGGAGACAAGCGACGAAGAUCAGAAGGGCUUUGACAAGUGUCGCGAUCCCUCCUAGGGCAUGAGGAGCAUCCGAAAAUUAGGUACAAUGAGUCAUAGGAGAUAGUUAGGUGUCGAAAUUGAUUAGGUUGUAAUUUAUCAAAUAAAUAAAUAAAAUUUGAUUAGGUUGUAGUUGGUGCUCUUUGAUUGGUGUUUGGUGAUGAUAAGACGAUGAUGGGUGCUAGGUUUAGAACCCUAAAGCUUUGAUACUAUGUUUGCUUUGAGGGUAAAUCAACUUUGAGAGUGAUAAUGAUAUCACUCCCUUUAUAUUAAUCAACCAAUUGUUACAAAGAAAGCCCAAAGGCCCUCAUGAAGGAAUUACAGAAUAAUCUAAGGAAACAAAUAAUAGGAAGAUUCUAACACAUUCUAACAUCUUCUACAGUGUCGUUGGGUUGCAUUGGAAUAAAUUGUGCGGUCUUUGUCAAACGGUACACCACUAUCCAAAUAACAUCAUUCCCUUGUAUGGUUCUCAGAAGUCCUAACUCUAUCGUGAUAUGCUCGCAUUUCCAUUCAGCUACUAGUAAUAAUUGUAAUAAUUGUAAUAAUCUAGCGGGUUUUUGAUGUUUGACCUUUACUUGUUGACAAGUCAAACAUCUCGAAAUGACAAGAAGGAUGCACUAUUAGAUUGGAAUGAUGAAACACUCUAAAAGUGUCAUCAUGACAAGACUCUAAUAGAAACAUCCUAUCCAUGUACCUCACUAUCAAAGUCAAAGUCUGAAUUGAUGGUCAAUCCCCAUUCCUCCUCACCCUUGGAAAUGCGGUCUCCAAUGGUCUUAGUCUCUACGUCGUGUUGUUGGGCCUCUAAAACUUUACUAACAAGAGUCAGCAGAGUAAUCAUGGUAAAUAACAUUGCAAUCUCUUAGAAUUCGCCAAGUGUAGAUCAAACUCGCUGAUAUUUCCAAACAUCUCCCGUUCUCGAAUGGCUACGCCACCUAGAUGACUAACGGAUUUCCUACUCAAAGCGUCAACAACUACAUUCGCCUUUCCCCGGUGAUAAUGCAAGUGAAAUUAUAAUCAGCCAUGAAUUCUACCCAUCUUUGACAUAGAUUAAGGUUCUUUUGUGAAAACAUGUUUUUCAAGCUCUUGUGGUUGAAAAACACUUCAAAUUUCUAGCCGUAAAGGUAUUGUCUCUCAAAAUCUUCAAGCAAAGCCACAAGCUCCAAGUUGUAAGUCAGGUAAUUCUUCUUGUGUGUCUUCAAUUGAUGUCAACACACAACCCAACUCAUCCCGUGACAAAUCACAAUAAAUUGUAUAACCCGAUCCUUGCUCUGGAAUAAUCAAGAUUGGUGCAGUUGGGAAUUCAUCGGGUCGGGUUUUUUUGUGUUUCGUGCGUGAAUUGUUUGAUUUUAAACUUAACUAUUUUGGUGAUACAAUUUCAUACUUUAACCCUGACAGUUUCAUCCUUUAGUAGUUUGGAUAGAGAGACAUUGUUUCAGUUUUUAUCCAACUUUGUUCUUUCAGUUACUGAGAUAUUGGUACAAUUAAUGUCCCAGUUUUGAGAAGCAUUAAUGUCCCAGUUAAAUCAUCAAGCAUUAAUCCCCUUAUUGAUUCUUUGAGUUCUCAAUUGAUUGAUUUCUGAUUUUUUAUGUUAAAGGAGUAUGUGGUAGAAGACAGAGAAGCUAAUAAGGAUUUCCAAGAACUUGAUCCCAGCCACAUCACGGAGCUAAGAAUGUUGGGCCUCUAUUAAGCUGAAAUUUGGUGUCUUCCCUGAUGUUGGGUCUGCCUUUCCUUGUGGUGAGCAGGGUUAUAUGUUUACAGCUUUGACAAUGAGAAACUCUACGUGUAAGCUGCAAAAUUGGUGUUCCUGUCAGCAAAGUUGUUUGAACCCGAUCUGGUCUGAGUUGCACUUUUUGUCAAGCACACACCAAUAUUAUGUGUAUUUUGAUUCUUUGUCACGUGCUUAUUUGUCAGUGUGGACAGACACUAUUUACCACUUUCUUUGUUUUCA